rnacentral:rRNA from 1 species
UACAGAGGUCUCAACCGUUGUUCGGAUUUACUGGGCGUAAAGCGCGCGUAGGUGGUUCGUUAAGUUGGAUGUGAAAUCCCCGGGCUCAACCUGGGAACUGCAUUCAAAACUGACGAGCUAGAGUAUGGUAGAGGGUGGUGGAAUUUCCUGUGUAGCGGUGAAAUGCGUAGAUAUAGGAAGGAACACCAGUGGCGAAGGCGACCACCUGGACUGAUACUGACACUGAGGUGCGAAAGCGUGGGGAGCGAACAGG